rnacentral:snRNA from 3 species
AGCUUUGCACAGUGGCAGUAUCGUAGCCAAUGAGGUUUAUCGGAGGCACGAUUAUUGCUAAUUGAAAACAUUUUACAAUGCAUUGGACAGUUCCUUACAACAAAUAAUCUGGCUUUAAAUGUCAAUAAUGCUGAGGUUAAGAAGCC